rnacentral:rRNA from 1 species
CAGUCGCCACGGGAAUACGUGGGUGGCAAGCGUUGUCCGGAAUUAUUGGGCGUAAAGGGCUCGCAGGCGGUUUCUUGAGUCUGAUGUGAAAGCCCCCGGCUCAACCGGGGAGGGUCAUUGGAAACUGGGAAACUUGAGUGCAGAAGAGGAGAGUGGAAUUCCACGUGUAGCGGUGAAAUGCGUAGAGAUGUGGAGGAACACCAGUGGCGAAGGCGACUCUCUGGUCUGUAACUGACGCUGAGGAGCGAAAGCGUGGGGAGCGAACAGGAUUAGAUACCCCAGUAGUCCCUGUCUCUUAUAC